ACGGGAGGCAGCAGUGGGGAAUAUUGGACAAUGGGGGAAACCCUGAUCCAGCGACGCCGCGUGAGUGAAGAAGUAUUUCGGUAUGUAAAGCUCUAUCAGCAGGGAAGAUGAUGACGGUACCUGACUAAGAAGCCCCGGCUAACUACGUGCCAGCAGCCGCGGUAAUACGUAGGGGGCAAGCGUUAUCCGGAUUUACUGGGUGUAAAGGGAGCGUAGGCGGCCAGACAAGUCAGAUGUGAAAACCCGGGGCUCAACUCCGGGACUGCAUUUGAAACUGUGUGGCUAGAGUACUGGAGAGGCAAGCGGAAUUCCUAGUGUAGCGGUGAAAUGCGUAGAUAUUAGGAGGAACACCAGUGGCGAAGGCGGCUUACUGGACGAUAACUGACGUUGAGGCUCGAAAGCGUGGGGAGCAAACAGGAUUAGAUACCCUGGUA
rnacentral:rRNA from 1 species